CCUACGGGCGGCAGCAGUGAGGCAUAUUGGUCAAUGGACGAGAGUCUGAACCAGCCAAGUAGCGUGAAGGAUGACUGCCCUAUGGGUUGUAAACUUCUUUUAUAUGGGAAUAAAACGUUCCACGUGUGGGAUUUUGUAUGUACCAUAUGAAUAAGGAUCGGCUAACUCCGUGCCAGCAGCCGCGGUAAUACGGAGGAUCCGAGCGUUAUCCGGAUUUAUUGGGUUUAAAGGGAGCGUAGAUGGAUUGUUAAGUCAGUUGUGAAAGUUUGCGGCUCAACCGUAAAAUUGCAGUUGAAACUGGCAGUCUUGAGUACAGUAGAGGUGGGCGGAAUUCGUGGUGUAGCGGUGAAAUGCUUAGAUAUCACGAAGAACUCCGAUUGCGAAGGCAGUUCACUGGACUGCAACUGACACUGAGGCUCGAAAGUGUGGGUAUCAAACAGGAUUAGAUACCCGUGUAGUC
rnacentral:rRNA from 1 species